rnacentral:rRNA from 1 species
AUUGAACGCUGGCGGCAUGCCUUACACAUGCAAGUCGAACGGCAGCACGGACUUCGGUCUGGUGGCGAGUGGCGAACGGGUGAGUAAUAUAUCGGAACAUACCCUAGAGUGGGGGAUAACGUAGCGAAAGUUACGCUAAUACCGCAUACGAACUAAGGUUGAAAGCGGGGGAUCUUCGGACCUCGUGCUCAUGGAGUGGCCGAUAUCUGAUUAGCUAGUUGGUGAGGUAAAGGCUCACCAAGGCGACGAUCAGUAGCUGGUUUGAGAGAACGACCAGCCACACUGGAACUGAGACACGGUCCAGACUCCUACGGGAGGCAGCAGUGGGGAAUUUUGGACAAUGGGCGCAAGCCUGAUCCAGCAAUGCCGCGUGAGUGAAGAAGGCCUUCGGGUUGUAAGACUCUUUGUCUAGGGAAGAACGGUAAGUCCU